rnacentral:tRNA from 1 species
CGGAGACUAGUAUAGUGGUAGUACGCGUCCAUGGGGUGGAUGUAGUCCGGGUUCGAUUCCCGGGUCUCCGACCA